rnacentral:tRNA from 1 species
GCCGAGGUAGCACAGCUGGUAGUGGCGUCUCACUGAAAAUGAGUAGGUCGUCGGUUCGAAUCCGACCCUCGGCA